AUCUUUUUUAUGGCUUAUGCCACUCCAACUGGCAUAAACAAGGCAUAGCUGAAGAUUAAAUGUCCCGAACAUUAUUAGCCCAUUAGAUUUCUUAAUACCUUCUCCCAGGACUCUGUUCUCUUUACGCUCUCAAUCAAAUUUCUGUUUAUCAAAUUUCUAAAAUGUUCAUGAGAAGAGGUCCUCUUCCUUGUCACUCUUCAGGGAGCAAACACUCUCUUGUAUGCUUUGGAAAGGAAAACAAUUCCUUUUAGUUCAGAACUCAAGUUUCCAAGAAAAAGUCUUCUUUAUCCCUAACUUGGGUGACUGAUUUGUCCCAGACUAUCUGGGACUUUCCCAGCUGAAAGUCCUGUGUCUGCCCUUUAACCCAGGACAAACUGGGGUAGUUGGUCAUCCUACCAUGGCCCUGAUUUUCUGCAUCAGUUCCCCCCACUCCCCAGCUGGAAUCCAUACCUCUUCCAUUCUAAUAUUUAGGACUAAUUUUUGCAAAGUUGAUCCUGUGAGCACAGUUGUUAAUAGCCAAUAGGAGUCCCAUGUGAUAAUUGGGGACAGAGGGAGAGGGGGCUUUCAUGGAUUGCCCAGCUCAGGCAAGAUGAUGUUGAUGGGAAGGAGUUCCCUCUUCCUGCUUCUGAGGGUGAUAAAUCACACCCUGCAAAAUGCUUUGUUCUCACGAGAAAGAUAUUCUAUGGCUCUGUCUACCUCUAACCACAGCAGAUGGAUUGGUGAACUGGGCUUGAUGGCCUUUCACUCUAUGGGACAAGGAGAGUCCCUGUGAAGGUAGAGGACAGACUUUUUUAGGUCCUGGGCUUCCUGGUGGGAGACUUGAGGGACUCCUAGGAGUAGAAGAGAGUAGCUGUGGCUUGUUGGAGAUGAGAUGAGGAGAUGUUGGUGCUACUGGCUCUUGCCAGCAGGAAAUUAGGACUAUCCAUGGCCCCAGGGAAAAUUUUUUUUAAUGUUUUCAGAAUAGAACAUUCUAAUCAAGCCAAGCAGGGAGCAAUUACCUACAUUGUCAAUCAGUCUAGGUAGUAAUUGGGAAGAUUCAGCACGAAUCAGUUUGUCCUUCAUUUCUCUUGGCAAAGUAGGUCUGAUGACUUUGGCUGGCUUUAGCCGGCUCACUGUGGCUGGCAGGUUGUCCCAGCAGAUUAGAUGAAGCGUUGGCGCUAGCAGAGAGGUUAAAGCACUUGCUCAGGUGCCCCCUUCCCACGUGUUCUUAAUUUCUUAGGACGGAGUUCUCUGUGCAGGCUUAGAUCUGGCCGCCUUUCCGACUUGUCACAGGGUAUUUGUUGCUGCUGGAUUUGUUUUAGGGCGUGACUAUUUGACAGCUGGGGUCGGGGGAAGGGUGUGGGGAGGACCUCUAGUAGCAUUUCGCUUGCCUUGCUGCCUGGAGCCUCCUUAAAGGAGAAGAUGAAUUCACUGCAUGUGUGCGCGGGCCUUAUGUAAGCUGCAGGCGGCAGCGCAGAGUGGAGAACGUGAAGACAGGCGGGGGCAGGGAGAUUUGGCGAGGCAGGCCCCGCAGUGCAGAAACCAGCUCUGAAAGCUGCGCGUGGAGGUUAAUUUACCUCAUACUUAUAACUUUGACAAUCAAACAGCUUAACAGCUAUUUCAGACAUCUAUUCCUGCUAGAGGAUGCACUGUCCCUAUUUUUGGAAGCCGGCUGACGCAGAAGAAAGCCACCUCCCCCCGCCGCCGCCCCAACAGACACGCACUUUGCUGACAUUUUUCCUAGAAUAAACAGUGAUUCAGCUGAGAUAGCUUGACCGGAUCACUGUUGAGAACAAAAUGAUAUGAUUGUUAUAUGAAGCAAGAGGUGGUCCAAGAAGAAGGUAUAAUCUCCAGGGAGCAGACAGACACUUCUAAAAUCAAUAGACUGAUGAUUCACACUGCAGUCAAGUUCUGCUGGAAAGUAAGAGAUAAAUAUGCAUUUAUGAGAUUCAGAAUGCUAUUUUCAAACACCUGCAAAGAAGAGAACACUGUGUCAAUGUAUCCAGUCACAUAUUUGAGAGUCUGCAGAACCUGUCUACCUAAUGCCCAUUGGGAUGUGUGCCCUUUGCUUCUCUUUCCCUUCCCACAACCCAACCAUAGAGAGAAACGGCAGUGGAGAUGGUUUAUUUGGCCAGUGAGUCCUCACUCUUUCAAUCAUGUUUGCCCUCUCUUCCUGAUGUUUGGUAAGAAAAAAUGCCCUUUGAGUAAAAAGAAGAGCUUAGAAUGUCAUGGAAUACCAAGUUGUGGAUUUCCUGCUCUGAGCAAGCUGGAACUCAUCCUUAUCUCCAAGGUGCUAUAUUCUCCCACUCUUGCCUCACAUUCCACCAGUGCCUCAAGGCUUGCUACUUUUUGCGGUGAUAAAAAGGAUGUGCUCCACCUGGCCACAGUGGAUUCCCAACUUAUGUGAUGUGAGAGCUUUCAUAGGCCCUUCCAAAGACAAAUAUGGUACUAGAGUUGAUUCUGGAAACACUGAUCAUCUGCCCAUAUGGAAUCAACUACCACCCCCUCCUUAUGGGAAAAAUCGCCAACUGAUAAUGGCAAAAUCCACAGCCUACCACCCAUUAAAACUCAGAUAGAUCCCUUAAAAUAUCUUUCUAGAAUCAAUCAAUAUAAGAAGAACUUCAAGGCACAAAGGCCAUAUUAGAAGAUUACAAGGCUCAAGACCUCAUUGUCUUGUAUACUAACUAGUUCCUGUAAUGCUUCUAUUUUACUGGUGAGAAAAUCUAAGAGCUGAGAAUGGAGUUUUGUCCAGGACAUCUGAGCAAAAAAGAGUAUUGUUAUCCCUUGAUCUCAUGUUACUAACAUCCAUUCCCACUGGAAGAAUUUUUUUUUUUACCGUAAUUGAUUUAUGAAGUAUAUUCUUUAGUGUUCAGGUGAUGAAGCUAGCUAAUACCCUUUUCUUUUCCUGGGAAGAAAGAAUUCACCUGUACAGUAAUGCAUCAGGGUUUUACUGAGAGUUUUCAUUUAUCACAAAUCCUGAAGGCCCAUCUGGAUGAUAUAAAGUUCCCUAGGAGUUCUACUUCAUUGCAAUAUGUAGAUGAUUUGCUUCUUUGCUCUCCUUCUCCAGACUCUUCACUGGAAUACAGUAUCCACUUCCUAAAGCUUUUGAUGUUAAAGGGACAUAACAUUAUUUAAGGAAAAAAUACAGUUUUCCCAAACCCAGUUCAACAUUUAGGGCCCUUGAUAUUGAAACUAGGGCUACAUCUAGAUGCAAAUAGUCUUCAUGGUUUCCUAAGUUCCCCAAACCCCAAACUAAAUGCCAACUGCAAGGUUUUCUUGGGCUAGUUAGUUAUUGCCAAAAUUGGAUUCCAAAUUUUUCUUUUAUAGCCAGACCUUUGUAUGCAUUGUUAAAGAACAACAAUCCUUACCCAAUUUUUUGGCAGAAACUGAAUGAUAUAGCCUUGGAGACCUUAAAGGAGAGUUUGACGAACCUACCUGCAUUUUACGUCCUAAUUAUCAGAUUCCCUUUUUCCUUUAUGUGUAUGAAAAAGAAGGAAAUGCCACUGGGGCACUCACUCAAAAACACAGAGACCACCAUCAACCCAUAGGGUAUUAUACCUAGUAACCUAACCCUGUAGCUCGAGAAUAUAACUCUUAGGUUACAACUAUUACAGACACUACUUUUUUUGUUAGGUCUACUGAGAAAAUCAUUGUGGGAUCCCCUUUAACUAUUUUUGUACCUCAUGCUGUAGAAGCCCUCCUUAAUCUCAACAGCCAGCUACCUUACUUCCUAAGAAGUCCUGUUGUUAAUGUCUUUUCACAUAAUUCUUUUACUUUGCAUAACCUUAACUCUGUUACUCUUCUCCCUGCUGCUACUGAUAAAGUUUCUCAUGACUGCUUAACACUGAUGGGUCACAUCCUGACUCUCUGUGAUGAUCUGCAGGAAAUUUCUUUGGGACCCACAUGACCUACAGCCUGUGCCAACCCGAGUUUGAGAAGAUUCUCCAAGAACAGUUGAAGCAUGCACACUCUGAGAUGGCAAAAUACCACUCACAGGACCCAAGUUAAGCCUCCAGGCAGUUGUAUGCAGGGAGCAGCAUGCACAGUUUAGAAUCUGGCAUCUGAAGAAGUGAUUUUCAGCAGAGAAACUUUACAAAACAGUAGUGUUACAAGUCAAUCAGCCAUGAUGAAAGCAUCUGGAAUCUAAUAUAUGGCACAAAUGAAGCUUUCCACAGAAAAGAAAAUCAUGGACUUGGAGAAGAGACUUGU